rnacentral:rRNA from 1 species
CGUGUAGGCGGCCGGAUAAGUUGGGAGUGAAAGUCCUGCUUUCAAGGUGGGAAUUGCUUUCAAAACUGUCAGGCUUGAGUGCGGAAGAGGUAAGUGGAAUUCCCAGUGUAGCGGUGAAAUGCGUAGAGAUUGGGAGGAACACCAGUGGCGAAGGCGACUUACUGGGCCGUAACUGACGCUGAGGCGCGAAAGCGUGGGGAGCAAACA